rnacentral:rRNA from 1 species
GGAAUAUUGCGCAAUGGGGGAAACCCUGACGCAGCGACGCCGCGUGAGUGAUGAAGGCCUUCGGGUCGUAAAGCUCUGUCGUGUGGGAAGAACACAAUGACGGUACCACACAAGAAAGGACCGGCAAACUUCGUGCCAGCAGCCGCGGUAAUACGAGGGGUCCUAGCGUUGUUCGGAAUUACUGGGCGUAAAGCGCAUGUAGGCGGACUUGUAAGUCGGAUGUGAAAGCCCAGGGCUUAACCCUGGAAGUGCAUCCGAAACUGCAAGCCUUGAGUACGAGAGAGGAUAGUGGAAUUCCUGGUGUAGUGGUGAAAUACGUAGAUAUCAGGAGGAACAUCGGCGGCGAAGGCGGCUGUCUGGCUCGAUACUGACGUUGAGAUGCGAAAGCGUGGGUAGCAAAC